UGGCGCAGCUGAUCAUUCAUCCGCGUGCAGGACGAAGGCCUUCGGGUUGUAAACUGCUUAGUACGGAACGAAAAGCUCUGGGCUAAUACCCCGGGGUCAUGACGGUACCGUAAGAAUAAGCACCAGGCUAACUACGUGCCAGCAGCCGCGGUAAUACGUAGGGUGCAAGCGUUAAUCGGAAUUACUGGGCGUAAAGCGUGCGCAGGCGGUUUUGUAAGACAGAGGUGAAAUCCCCGGGCUCAACCUGGGAACUGCCUUUGUGACUGCAAAGCUGGAGUGCGGCAGAGGGGGAUGGAAUUCCGCGUGUAGCAGUGAAAUGCGUAGAUAUGCGGAGGAACACCGAUGGCGAAGGCAAUCCCCUGGGCCUGCACUGACGCUCAUGCACGACAAGCGUGCGGGAGCAAACACG
rnacentral:rRNA from 1 species